rnacentral:rRNA from 1 species
AUUGAACGCUGGCGGCAUGCCUUACACAUGCAAGUCGAGCGAGCGGCGAACGGGUGAGUAACGUAUCGGGAUGUGCCGGGUAAUGGGGGAUAACUACUGGAAACGAUAGCUAAUACCGCAUACUAUUCGAUGAGCCCAUAUGUGAUUAGCUGGUAGGUGGGGUAAAGGCUCACCAAGGCGACGAUCUCUAGCGGGUCUGAGAGGAUGAUCCGCCACACUGGGACUGAGAAACGGCCCAGACUCCUACGGGAGGCAGCAGUGGGGAAUUUUGGACAAUGGGCGCAAGCCUGAUGCAGCCAUGCCGCGUGUCUGAAGAAGGCCUUCGGGUUGUAAAGGACUUUUGUCAGGGAAGCGGUACCUGAAGAAUAAGCACCGGCUAACUACGUGCCAGCCGCCGCGGUAAUUC